AGUGAACGCUGGCGGUAGGCCUAACACAUGCAAGUCGAACGGCAGCACAGUAAGAGCUUGCUCUUACUGGUGGCGAGUGGCGGACGGGUGAGGAAUACAUCGGAAUCUACUUUUUCGUGGGGGAUAACGUAGGGAAACUUACGCUAAUACCGCAUACGACCUACGGGUGAAAGCAGGGGAUCUUCGGACCUUGCGCGAUUGAAUGAGCCGAUGUCGGAUUAGCUAGUUGGCGGGGUAAAGGCCCACCAAGGCGACGAUCCGUAGCUGGUCUGAGAGGAUGAUCAGCCACACUGGAACUGAGACACGGUCCAGACUCCUACGGGAGGCAGCAGUGGGGAAUAUUGGACAAUGGGCGCAAGCCUGAUCCAGCCAUACCGCGUGGGUGAAGAAGGCCUUCGGGUUGUAAAGCCCUUUUGUUGGGAAAGAAAAGCAGCAGGUUAAUACCCCGCUGUUCUGACGGUACCCAAAGAAUAAGCACCGGCUAACUUCGUG
rnacentral:rRNA from 1 species